rnacentral:tRNA from 1 species
GCCUUUUUAGUUUAAUGGUUAAAACUAUUGUUUUGUAAACAGUAAAUUUCAGUUCAAUUCUGAAAAAAGGCU